AGGGGCAGUUCUGAGGGGUGUGAGGGGCAGGUCUGAAGAGAUAGGUGAGAUCUGAGGGGAGAGGGGCAGUUCUGAGGGGCUGAUCUGAGGGGAGGGGCAGAUUUGAGAGUUAUGGGUGGCUCUGGGAUGUAUGGGCAGCUCUGAGGGGUGAGGGGGUGGUUCUGAGAGGAGAGGGGCAUUUCUGAGGGGCAGAUCUGAAGAGAUGGGAGAUCUGAGGGGAGAGGGGCAGAUCUGAGGGGUGUGGGGCACAUUGGAAGAGAUGGGGGAGGUCUGAGGGGAGAGGGGCUGAUGUGAGGGGCAGUUCUGAUGUGUAUGGGCAGCUCUGAGGGGGGUGAGGGGCAGCUCUGGGGUGAGAGGGUGGCCCUGUGGGGUGUGAGGAGGCAGUACUGAGGGAUAGCAGGGGAGGGGAGGCGGCAGAUAGGGGGUAUGGGAGCAGUUCUGGAAUGAAGGGGUGGCUGUGAGGGGUGAAGGGCACAGUUCUGAGGGGCACAAGGGCAGUUCUGGAGUGGAGGGGCAGUUCUGAAGAUAUGGACAGUUCUGAGGGGAGGAGGGGCAAUACCGAGAGGGCUGUGCCAGGCGUAGGAUCGGAGCUGGGAGACCCCGCACAGCUGAGGGAUCUCCUGGGACCAAUCUGUGGCUGCACACACCGGCGUGGAUCGACGGCUUUGCGUCACGUUAUCGCAUAUCUGCUCCUGCUGCAUUGCACACCGGAAUGCACGGUGGCCUCGAGAGGGACGCUGCUUUUCCCUCUGAAAUCUUUCUGCUAUUACUGAUAACUGAGCACUGAAUAUGGACGCGCUCUCUUUCAAAAGCACCACGUCCUUCUCCUUGCAGCACGGCGCAGACUCACACCCCGUUGCUGGCAGAGCUGCUUCCACGCAUUUCAGCAUUGGUUUUUUUUGCUCAAAACUGUGUUUUCUGCUCUCUCCUGCUUGUGUUUCACUGCCUCGUCAGGGCUGCAAACAUCAGAGGGAGCUGCAGGCUGCUGCUCGGCCCCGUGUGCGGCUGCAAGGGUGGACACCGCGUGGAGCAAGCAGCACCGGCCCUUGGCCACCGUGCAGGCGGCUAAUUAGAGCCCUGCGUGUGAUGAAAUAAAUGAAAAUGAGUCAUUUUGUGGUGGUGGCCUGAUGGAAAGAAGCCCAGGAGGGAAGGGAUCGUAUGGACAGUGCAGGAAUGUGCUCGGGGUGCUGUCACACCCAGGCAGGGGUGCAGAAAGGACGGGGAGAAGCGGCUGCCCGUCCCUGGAGUGAAGCAGAAGUGAUCAGCAGUGUUAUUAGACAAAGAGGCGCCGUCAGAAACAGUGCCAUCUGGGAGGCUUCGACUUCCCCGAAAUAAAGCUGAGAACAAACGCUCCUAAAAACGGCACCGUGCUGCUAUUUCUAGACCUGAUCACCACCAGAUUGCUUUACCAAUCAGGCGCUCGCAGCCGGCUCAGCACAACGAGCAGCCCGAGCACAGCCACGCUGCAGGAAGCAGAGGACAUCCUACGUUGCUCUGCGCUGUGGAGGUGCAUUCCAAGCAGAAGAUGGGAACAGAGACCCACAGAAGCGUCACCCAGCCAGCCCCAAGCAGAGGCAGCGGGGUACAAUGCGUCAGCCCAGCUUUGGCAGUCUUCAUCCAUUGUAAAGCGGAGAAAAUCCCCCCAUUUCCAUUAAAAAAAAAGAAGUUAGCUUCACAGUACAAGUUUCUACCCAGUCCUACGUCAGGUUAGUGGGGCCGGAGGGGGAGUGCAGGGAUGGGAAGGGGGCAAAAUGCUUAAAGUUUCCAGCUUCAAAACUAUCGUAACAUCUGGUUUCUGGGAUAGGUGCUCUGUGGGGCUUUGCAGGAGUGGGUGAAGGGCUUUGGGGAGCACCCAUGGGUGCCACAGGGCUGAUCCUGGAGGUGGGGGACAGCCCAGCCCCACAGCCCAGCCCUGUGCUGCUCCCACCCCACAGCAGACCUCGGGAACCCCAGCCCGAGGUGUUGGCUGCGCAUCCUUCCAGCAGUUCUUAAUAUAAGACAACGAGGAAUCAUCCACGACUGAUAGCACAAAGUAAGCGAUCCAUGUCACAACGUACAAUCAAGAUGGAUUUUCUGUUUUUCCUCGGGGGGGGGGAGGUUUCCCAUGCAGGGGGAGGGAGGACCGGGGGUCUUGAGGCAUCACCAUCCCUGACCCCACAGUGCUGCAGAGGGGUGGGGAGGGCAGCCCUACACCUGGAGGAAACCCCCGCCCCAAAACAACCCCACACGUAUUGCAUAGUAUUGCUGUCAGCAGUCUGAAAACAGAAAGGAGAACUCUUUUUUCCAGCGACCUGGGGAUGUCUCUCCCAUAUCCAGGCAAGCUCCCACUGCGCACACCGUGGGGCACAGUUGCUUUUUGCUUCCCCCCCCCCCCCCAAAAAAAAAGCCCCCAAACAUAUAAAGCUCCAAGCAUAGAGAAUGCAGAAUAAUGGGGCUCCCUGCUACAAGCAGGACACGGGGAUGGCCACAGCUCCGACCCCACAGCGUUCCAUCAGCUCCCACUUGCUGCACUGCACCCCAAACCCUCCUGCUGCUGCCCCCAGCUGGGACCCCCCCUCCACUGCCCGGCCUCAGGGCCAGCCCGAAGCCACACCAGGGCCACCCUGCCCUACUGAGGGGGAUUCCACGGAGCACCCUUGUAUUCCUAAAGAUAUUUUUCCCUCUUUGUCUCAGCUGCUCUGGAACUUUGGGUGCACGACCCCCCCCCGGUGCAGGAGCACAGCCCUGGGACCCCUCCGAGCAUCGCCCCCCACUCUGACCUUACCCCUGGGAGCUGCCUGCUGGAGUGAGGGCGGAACGGAAGACGUUUCUCCGUGCCCUGUAGAGAAGCACAGCUAGAGCAGGUUAAAACCAACACUAAUCAGUAACAAUUAAAAAGGAUAAAAGGGGGAGAAUAGCUUAUUCUGGAGGCUGGCUGCCAGGGCACGCAUGAGCUGGGGUUGGGGCAAUGGGAUGUGUUGUGGGGGUGAGGAUUGGGGUUGGGGUGAGCAUUGGGGUGCACUCCCAUACCACACCAUCCCUAGGAUGGCCCCCCCCUGCUUGCAGCCCCCCUCAAGCAUUUGGGGCACCCCUCAAUCUCCUCAUGGAGCAGAGGUGAUGGCGCUGCUGCUGAGGGUCUUUUGUUCACAGUAUGAGCUGAGCAGCCGUGGCACAGAGUCCUUUGGUGCUGGGGUGUGUGUGGGGGGGACAGGUCAGGAGACACCCACCACGAGCUGGGGAGCAAAGUCCGGGUGUCAGUCUGGUGUCUGUGGGUGUGCUGGGGGGAGUAGGGGGAGGGAAGUGACCCCACGUGUGAUUUAAUACCUUAGAAAAAAAAACCCAAUAGGAUCUUCCCUAAACCCCACGAGCCCCAAAGCCCCAAAAGAUCCGCAAAAACCUCGGGGAGCAGCCAACAGGACAGCCCUAUCUCGUCAGCAGCCAGCAAACGAGGGCAGAUUUGGGGGGUGGAGGAGAAAAAAAAAAAUAAAAAUAAAAAAAAAAAGGAAAAACUGAAGAGGAAAAGGGGUGGAGGGGGGAGGGAGGGAGGGGGGCACUGCAGGGCUCAGGCCUGGUCGGCCACCAGGACCAGCGGGGUCACCAGGUGCUGCCCCGCAGCCACCGCUUUGGCCGCGCUGCUCCUCUGCCGCCGCUGCGCCAGCUGGGACUCGGAGGGCGGCGAGAGCUGCACGGCCCUGGAGGCUGCUUUGAUGAUGAUGGGGCGCUCCUCCUCCUCCUCCUCGUCCUCAUCGCGCUGGGUCAGCUGCCUGUUGACGGCCAUGGCCUCUGCGGCGAAGGAGGUGAGUUCUUUGGCACUGCUGUUCCUAUGGGGCACAGACGGAAGGGGCUGAGAGUGUGUUUGGGGCCCCAUGCAUGUGGGGAUGGUGCUGAAAAUGGGGCUCAGACCCAAAUCAUGCACUGCAACCCCAUAGUGGCACAAGCAGGAUCCUGUGGGUCGUAGUU
rnacentral:lncRNA from 1 species